rnacentral:miRNA from 1 species
UCCCUCUCCCACCCCUUGCAG